rnacentral:rRNA from 1 species
UGCGCAGGUGGGCUUGUAAGUCAGUGGUGAAAUACUGCCGCUUAACGGUAGAACUGCCAUUGGUACUGCAAGUCUUGAAUAUGGUUGAGGUAGGCGGAAUGUGUCGUGUAGCGGUGAAAUGCAUAGAUAUGACACAGAACGCCGAUUGCGAAGGCAGCUUACUAAGCCAUUAUUGACGCUGAGGCACGAAAGCGUGGGGAGCGAACAGGAUUAGAUACCCUGGUAGUC